UCCCUGAUGUUGAGUCGGAAUCUCCUUUCUUGUAACUUGAAGCCAUUGGUUCAAUUCAAGCUUGUUCCAUCUUCCAUGUCACAGCCUUUGAGAUAUUUGAAGAUGGCCAUCAUAUUUCCUCAACUAUAUCUAUCAUCUAUCUAUCUAUCAUCUAUCUAUCUAUCUAUCUAUCUAUCUAUCUAUCUAUCUAUCUAUCGAUUAUCUAUCUAUCUGAGAGCCAGUGUGGUGUAGUGGUUAAGAGCAGUAGAUU